GCUUUGCAGGUCUCUGUUAUUUUAGUGGCUUACGAAGAAGAGCUUGAGGCUGAGCUUUUAAACCUUGAGGGUGUGAAACACCGAGGCCACCUGAAUGCCACUGAGCUCCCUGGCUCACGUUCUGCUGCUCUUCUACCUCUUCUGCUGCUCAUGCAGGAAAAUGUGCCCUCAAAAAUCACAAACCAUCGUGGUGCCUGUGUCCCACAGUCUCGUGGAGGACGGCUGAGGGCUGUGAGAUGCUGCUGUGUAAUUCCUGGAAGGCAAGUGAUCCUUCCAGAGGGAAAUGCAGCACCAGAGCUGGGCUCCUGCACCACAAAACCCCCAACAUCACACCUGAGCUAGAGACCAGGCAUCGCUCUUGCUGUCCACACCCUUCCUAAAGAGGGAUGAACUCAAGGAAUUCCUCCUUUUCCUCUCCCUCCAUCUCAUCCUUUCAAAACAAGAAGCUGCUGCACCUCUCUCGGUCUCCAGGUCCUCCUUCAUGAGGGUGUCCAGAGGAACGAUCCAGCUGUCCCCCAGCUCACCAUUGAGGUUCACCUUCUUCUCCUGCAUUUCAGAGGAGGUCUCCAUCACCUCCAGCGUGGGGUUGUCGUGGUAGCCAUUCUCCAUGGUCUGCAUCUCCUCGGUCAGGCGCUGCUAUGAGGAAAGAAAGCCAUAAACCCCACUGAACAACACCUUGGCCAUGCUGCAAGUGUCACCUCAGGGCUGUCAGCUCCCAGCCAGCUGUGACAGCUGCCCCAUAUAGAGUUACAUAGCUACAUAUAGAGACUUUCAUGGUCAGGUCGAGGCAGGGGGCAGCGAGGGGAUAGCAUGGAGCUGGCAAGAGGAAGACUCUGCUGAUGAUGGGAAGGAGGAGGGAGCAGCCAGAGACAGGAAAACCUCCAGGAGCAGCUGCCAGCUUCAGUUUGUUCCAUCCAGGACCUUGGGAAGAGGUUGAGCAACACUACAUCCCAACUCCUGCCUCCCUACCUCAAAUCUGCUCUUCCCCUCCCCUUUCUAUCCACCCCUGUCCUUUUUCUAGUUGCUUUAUUAUUCUUCUCCUUUAUUCAGGGGCAGCUCCCAUCUGCCAGAUCUUGAGCAUUAUCCUUCCUCAUUCUGGAACUUUCAGUGGAAACCAGGCAGGGAAGGAUGGAAUCAGACACUUUAUCACCCUGGUCCUUUGGUGUGAUGUGCUUCCAGCUCCAGCUCAGCCCUUCAUCCCUUGGCAGAACCCCAGCCUGUCCUAAUUUUGAAUUCACUUGGGCUUCUGCAUCCCCAUCCUUCCCUAGAGGGAUUCAGUGGGUUGCUCAGCCCUUUUUGGGAAUAACAGGGCUCUUGGUGGGUCCUUCAUCCCUAUCCUUCCCUGGAAGGAUUCAGUGGGGAACUGCAGUCCUUGCUCAGCCCUUUUUGGGGAGCCCUGUUAAAAUCUGCCUGGAUUCACAGCUUGCUCUAUUACAGUGCUCCUAUAAAUGUCAGGAGACAGGCGUGGGAGGGAAUCCAUGGAGAAGGAGAGGGAUGGAGAAGCAAAACUGCAGGGCUUGGUGCUGGCAGAGGAGCUGCAAAGGCGCUGCUGGGAGUCCCCUGUGUCACUCCCCUGUGGCAGGGUGGGGAUCGUGGGAUGCUCAAAAAGCAAAGAACACACCUGGGGCUCUCCCAAGGGCUGCUUCCCUGUGGGAUUGCUGGUCUCCCACCAUGGCAAGGCACCUUCCAGCCAUGCAGCAAGAGGAAAGGGGCUGUAAAGCUGGGCUUUAGUCCUGUUAAAAGCUACUGGGCCCUACCAAGCACUGGAGGUGAGAGCUGGGGGUGUUACGGAUGCGGCGCCCGCCCCUCCGAUCCCUGUGUUGGAACUCACAUUAAAGAUCAGGGCCACAUGUCCAUCAUCAAACCCGGGGACAUCAGGGUGGAUGUUCUGGGUAUUUCCAAGAUAAAACAACAGGGAGGGAGGUGGGGGAUGAGGAGGGUUGGAGAGAAAAAAAAAAUAAAAUAGGAAAAAAAAAAAAACAAACUUUCAAGUCAUUUUUGGAAACGAAACAGAAGGAGAACAAAAGAAACCACCCAAAAACAAAGGCAGGAAAGAGGAAUGUAUUUGAUUUUUGGAAAUAGCAUCCCUUGCUUUGAUUUUGCUAUUUUACCCCAUGUCUGGUGGGAAUUUACCUCUGGAACAUCCAAGUUGGACUGGUACCUAUUGCUCUGCACCAGGUUAUUUUAGGGACACAUGUUCCCAUCACUAAAAUACCCUAUUUCUACCUGUUUUCUGAACAACAUGGGGCAUGUUAUGCUGCUAUCUGUCCCUGUUGGGAUGUUUUUCAUGCCAGCCAGGGAGAUUUCAUGCAAGGGAUGAUGAAAACCUGGAAGCUCCAAGAGGACCACAGUGCAGGUCAAAUAUUUAUUGAGGUCUUGCCUCUUCCCCUAUUUCUUCCCAAAAAAUCAAGCCUGGUAAGUACAAACAAGUCUGACAGGGAAAUUAAUUUGCUCUUCCCUCCCUGCUGUGUUCACCUACCUUGCACUGUAAAUAUUUAAAGUUUUAUCCCUUGUUUUCCUGUGGUUCAGAGGUUGGGGUCGCUGAGAAAGGAUGAGCUGGUCCAGAGGAAAGUGAUUUGAAGUAGGAGUGAAGUAGGUUUGCUUCUCCAUCAGGAGGGUGAUUUACCCUGAUUGCAUAAUCUGAUUUCAUAACUAUUUUCCUUUUCUAUUUCUGCCCUAGAGCUAAGUCCUCAGGAACAGCAGCUGGGACCAGUGCAAACCUCAGUGCCCCAGGGUGUGGGAAUGGCCAGUCCUUGCAGGUGGAUGCUACACUAAAAUCGCCUAGGAUUGCUUCCUGAGAUAAAAAUCACAUUAUUUUCUC